rnacentral:rRNA from 1 species
CACGGGGGGGAGCAAGCGUUGUUCGGAAUUACUGGGCGUAAAGGGCUCGUAGGUGGCCAACUAAGUCAGACGUGAAAUCCCUCGGCUUAACCGGGGAACUGCGUCUGAUACUGGAUGGCUUGAGUUUGGGAGAGGGACGCGGAAUUCCAGGUGUAGCGGUGAAAUGCGUAGAUAUCUGGAGGAACACCGGUGGCGAAGGCGGCAUCCUGGACCGGUAUUGACGCGUGAGGGCGCGAAAGCCAGGGGAGCAAAACGGGG